AAAUCUGAAAGUGGAAGAGAAGGGAAGGCACCGGUAACCUCGUCUUCCCAAGAGGAGGUCAGAGGGCAGUUCAGACAUUGAAGGAAGAGACAAAGAGCCUUGAAUGUCACGAAAAGGAGGUUGGACUUUAUCCUGCAGGCAAUCAGAAGCCAGAAAGGUUUCAGGAUGGAUGGGCUGAUCAGAUUUGAGUUUCAACAGGCCACUGUGCUGCUACAGACACCCAGACACCGGAGCUCCAGCCGGGGCAGGCUGCAGGAUGCCCAGCCGUGUCCCCAGGAUGCCCUGCACGCUGUCCUGAAAACUAACCUGUAACUGCAGCUCUUGGAGCCUUCCGGAACCCAGAUCCCCACCUGAGAUCAAACCAAAGACCUGGUUUAAGGUCCCUGGUUUGGCUUGUUGCCACCCAACGCUGCCCC
rnacentral:lncRNA from 1 species